rnacentral:tRNA from 1 species
UUAAUUGAAACCAAAAAGAGGUAUAUCACUGUUAAUGAUACCAAUGAGAUUAUUCUCCAAUUAAG